rnacentral:rRNA from 1 species
UCUUCGGAUCGUAAAGCUCUGUGGGAGGGGACGAAAAAAGCCGACCUAAUACGUCGGAGCUUGACGGUACCCUCUUAGCAAGCACCGGCUAACUCCGUGC